rnacentral:pre_miRNA from 1 species
UGGAAGACUAGUGAUUUUGUUGUUUUUAGAUAACUAAAUCGACAACAAAUUGCAGUCUGCCAUA